UGUGAUUGCAGUUUGGGGCACUAGAUCCGGCUAUCUCCUCAGAGUGGCUUUUAACUUGAGUUCAACAUAAAACAUCUACUCUCUGAACAGAACAUCCCGUAGGCUUCCCAGACUGCACAUGCUAUUCUUGCUU